AAAAGUUUUUUGUUUUUAAAUGCAAGCUUGCAUUUAAAAACAAAAAAACAAGCUUGCAUUUAAAAACAAAAAACUUUUUUCACUGUU
rnacentral:miRNA from 1 species